GUAAGUGAAAUUCAAGAGUUUUCUUGCUUGUGCCACGUGCUUUCAUCUUUCAUUUGGAUUGAACAUUUUGUGCGAGAUGGGUUGAAUACGUAAUAUCAACAUAAUUUGGGCGCACAUUUAAAUGGUUGAACAAUAAAAGGCAUAUGCAAGAUGUCUAGAAAGAUGUAGUCGCCUCUAAAAACAAGAUGGCGUAUGGCGAUUUACCGGUUCGCAAAUGCAGAUGACAAUAAUGUUGCAGAUAUGACUGACUGACCUAAGUGAGGUUAUAUUGAACACUGCGCAUUAUUCGGCUUCGUGCGAGAAAGACGCGCGCCAAAACUUCAGGCUGAGCAUCUCGUUUUUUGGACAAUAAAAAUAUUAUAUAUUAUACGCCCAUAAUAGGGGCAAUUACCUUAAU